GGCACAAGUUUGAAGUAAAGUAGAUUAGUAUGAUCAGCUGACCCUACUCAAAUAUUCUGCUUCAAGUUUGUGCCA
rfam:Haemonchus placei strain MHpl1 genome assembly, scaffold: HPLM_contig0000667